CCUGAUGGCUCAAAUGGUAAAGCGUCUGCCUGCAAUGCAGGAGACCCAGGUUCGAUCCCUAGGUCAGGA
rnacentral:tRNA from 1 species